AUGAAUCUGUGAUUCUGUAAACAGUAUUUAUGUAUGUGUGUGUGUGUAUGUAUACGCACACUACAGUAAAAAUCUUCGAUCAUCGAAGCACCCCUGAGGGCUCGGCUGGUACAAGAACACCUUGAGGAGCCCACGGCCGUCCCAGGCCCCACGCUACUGCAGUGACAUCAGUAACAGGAAAUCUCUGGGAGCACAACGGGACGUCCUGGGUAAGAUGAGUCUGUAACAGUCAAGCAGCUGGGACAUCACUGCUGUCACUGUGGGCUUUGGGACGCACAAUAAAGGUUUUGUGAUUUUGAAGUAUCUGCUGCAGGUACUUAGGCCACUGAUAUUAUUUAGCCUUUACAUAAAACCUUUCUUGUUUUAAGCGUAUUUUUUCUUAACCUGAAUGUACUACUGUAUAAGUAAAUGCAUAGAAAUUACAAUAUACCUUCUCUUUUGACAGUGAGGAACAAGAGAGUCCACACUCUGAAAUCAGAGGAAAGACUCCCCAAUUUUCAGAGAGUAGGAGAAUAGCCUCAAUAAUUCUUCAGGAAAAUUACAUACGUUGCAAGUGCAAAGUUUAGCAUUUUCUUACAGCUGGUAGGGAUGUGAAAAUCCAUCUUGCCUUCCACGCAUAAACUCCAACAAGAUCUCACAGCCACAAUUAAGCGAUAGCUAUUGAUAAUGCCUAAGCAAGAGAAGAGCUCCAACUGUUUGCUCCCAACUGUUUCCCCGACAGACCAACAUGCAUGUUUUGAUGCCAAUCAGCCAUCUGUGGUUCCGACUGACCAAGGUACACGUGCACAUCACUUCAGGCACAGAAAUCACUUUAAUUCCAGCACAGAACAAUGCAUGCUGCUCAGCCAGAGGCUGAGUAUGGAAAAGUCAGGAGUGUGCAGCUUUGUCAGAGAGAUGGGAAUCCCUGGGAAGCAAGUUUGGAGCCAAGUUUACAGCCUAGUAUAGGGACAAACAAAUUGAUCAGCUGAAAUAAGGUCUGGAGGGUUUUUUGUUUUCUCUAAACCUUUUCUAUGCACCUUUAAAUCUUUAUGUUCCUUUAGUGAUAUUUGACCACAUAUACAUACAUUUACAGUUCCAUAGUUAAUGGUAUAUUCAAAGUAAUAAUGAUAAAAAUGAGUUCUACAAGCCUUGCUUAUCGGAGAUUUCUGUCUCAUGCAUCACCUUCAUAAACAGUUGUCUCUUGUCCAGUUCCUGUCCUGGCCAGUGAACCUCUGGUGGCCUGCAGCUGGAGUUCCACAUCUGCACAGCUGGAUGUGGGAGGAGAAGGACUUUGCAGUGGAUUUGUUGUCUCCCAGCUGGCACAUAACACUGUUUGGUUUUGCAGAUCACCUGUGGUUUGAUUCCCAGCAGUAGGAACAUUGCACUUUACCCUUCUCCCCAGCUGCCUGGAUUAAUGUUACCUUUAGCAGACUUGAGUGUUUGCAGGAAGAAGCCGGAUGCUGCCCAAGGACACAUCCCUGUAGCUCCUUGGAAUCCAGCAGAUGUGCAUAUACCCAUCCCUAGCUUCUGAUGCCUCCAGUCAAGUUCCACUGGUUCCAUAUGCUCUGUAAAAUUCAUGAGAAAAAGAAUGUAUUCCAAGUGCACAGAGUACUGAUCAGUUUGUGCUUGCCAGGACAAGAGGAAUGCAGAGCAAUCCCCACAUUCACGCUCUUUCAGAUGUCAUUUUCCCUGGUAAAAAUCAUGGCCUGUCAGUGAACUGGAAAAACAAAUAAAUAAUUAACACAGAAUAUGUGGCAA